rnacentral:ncRNA from 3 species
AGCCCGCGCCUUUCUUCUUUUGCCUGCGCUGUUCUAUUUCUCCUUCGGCCGCCGCCGCCACUGCUGCACACAGCUGGUGUCGGUGCCGCGCUUUUACCCCCAAGUCGUUCCCGCAGCCUAUGGCCCAGGCCGCCUUGGGUAUUUCUGCUCAAGGUAACCACAUCCCUCUUUAAAAAUUCCGCCGAAAAAGAGAAGACGCUUUACCCGACUCUUUGGGCCGUUAUCUCACGGCGAACUUUCUGACCAAGUAUACAACUACCCAGAGGGCCUAGGAGAAGUGCUGUAUAGAGAGCAGUUCGACUUCAACGCUGAGCCACCUUGGGAACCUAGCUGAUGAUAGGGGGGUUCCAUCUCCCAACUUGUCCAUCUCUCCCUGUUCUACUUCCAGGGAGGUCUUCACUUCAGAAAUCCAAGACUCAUAUUCAUCCAGCUUGGUGUCAAGUGGGCUGUUGCUGCCAGAAUUAUCUUGUGAUUAUUUGAGAGAUGUAUCAGUUUCUUCUGAAGUACAAUCAACUGUAGAAGCCUUUGUAGCAGUUUGUUGCAUAUUCUAAGGACCCAGACAUAGGCUUGGUGG